CUCAUGGACUUGGAGAACAGACUUGUGGUUGCAAAGGGGGAGGGGGAGGGAGUGGGAUAGACUGGGAAUUGAGGGUUUAUAGAUGCAAACUAUUGUCUUUGGAAUGGAUAAGCAAUGAGAUCCUGCUGUAUAGCACUGGGAACUAUGUCUGGUCACUUGUGAUGGAGUAUGAUAAUGUGAGAAAAAGACUAUAUAUAUAUGUGUCUAGUGGGAAUUCCACCUCCAGCUCCCCAAACUGAAACAGAGCCAACUCCAGCCCCAGACUCUUCCUGCCUGUGGCAUGUAAGCUUGGAGUUAGUGAGGAUAAACUUAGGAAGAACCGGCUAAGUGAGGAAAAGUCUGACAUCAGGGCUUUCCCUCCAAGGUUGGUGGCAGACCAGUUGACUCUGAGGUAUGCAGUGAGGGCUGGGCCAGGGCUUCCUCGCUCUGCCAUCAGCUGCCUCAGAUCUGCCUUUCCCUGAUUCAAACUUCUAUGAAAUAUGUGCAUAUCCGAGAUGCAACACUUGUCAACCUUGUGACCUAGGCAACUUUCAUAAACCACAUGACUUUACUGUCCACGUUAGAUAACAUGACUUGCUGCACAGAGUGACUGUGCAGAUUAAAUAAUGUGGGGCAGAUGGGAAGCUGGGCCCGUCUUAUUGUUUAGGGGAGGACAGCCAGGUCCAUCGGUCGUCCAGUCAUCUGCCCAGGAGGCUCAGCAGCCUCUGCACUUAUUAGGGGCCUGAAGUCUACACAACUACAAGACAAACAAAGCCUACGGUUGUAGCUACCACAAGGGAAUGUACCUUUGAAUGGGGAGUUGGUCCCAAGGGGUGACCAGAAUGAGUGGAGAUGUACCUUGAGUUGAAUGCAAUUCAUGAGCCUUCAUGAGCUUGGAGUUAGUGAGGAUAAACUGGGUGAAAAUGUCCCCCUCAUUUCCUCAUCAGGAUUGCAUCCUGGGUGGACAGAGAACAAAGCCCAGGGACUCAGCUGUCUCACUAGGACACAAGAAGACAGAAGAGGGAUAUGGAGCCAGAGAAAACAGGACAGCAGCUUCCCAC
ensembl:lncRNA